rnacentral:rRNA from 1 species
AUGGACGCGGCGACGCGGCGGGCGCGGCUGCUCCUGCUGCUCGUGGCGGCCACCGUGCCGGCGGGGCUCUGCCAGACCAACCCGGACGAUGCCGCGGCGCUCCGGUCGGUGAUGGGCGCGUGGACCAACUACCCGUCGAGCUGGAAUUCCGGCGACCCCUGCGGCGCGCCGUGGGACGGGAUCAUGUGCAGCGGCAACGGGAGGGUGACAUCGCUGCGGCUAUCCAGCGCCAACAUGCAGGGCACGCUCAGCGACAGCAUCGGGCAGCUCGGCCAGCUCAUGUUCCUUGACCUUUCGUUCAACAGCGGUCUCAGUGGUACGAUCCCCGCUUCGAUUGGGAACCUUGGGAAGCUUACGACACUAAUCUUGGCUGGUUGCAGCUUCAGCGGAGACAUUCCUAAAGAACUAGGCAACCUCCUGCAGAUGACAUUCCUGGCGCUGAAUUCAAACAAGUUGACGGGCACAAUACCGCCUCAGCUUGGCCUACUCUCAAAACUCUUCUGGCUAGACCUGGCAGAUAAUGCCAUCACAGGAAGUGUCCCUAUCUCAACAGGAACGACACCGGGCCUUGACCUUCUUACCAACACGAAGCACUUCCAUUUCAACAAGAACCAGCUAUCUGGAACGCUUACAGGCCUCUUCAAGUCUAAUAUGACCCUCAUACACAUAUUGUUUGAUAGCAAUCAGUUCACAGGCCCAAUUCCGCGUGAGCUUGGAAGCAUUACCUCGCUCCAAGUACUCCGACUGGAUAGGAACCAAUUUGCGGGAGCAGUUCCUAACAUCACCAACUUGGUCAACCUAAAUGAGCUGAACUUGGCAACCAACAAGCUAACUGGAUCAGUGCCAAAUCUCAGCAGCAUGAACGUGUUAAAUGUUGUGGAUUUAAGCAACAACAGCUUUACCGCGUCAGCAAUCCCAGCCUGGUUCACAAAUCUAACAAAUAUUUCUUCAAUAUCGUUGUCUUCUGCGAGCCUCACUGGCGAGGUCCCCCAGGAACUCUUCAAUUUGCCCCAGCUGCAUGAAGUUGUAAUGAGCAAAAACCAGUUGAACGGAGUACUUACGAUGCCAGGCAGCAUCGGCACACAACUGCAAACCGUGGAUUUCCAAGGAAACGUCAUAGUUGAUGUCGCUGGCAUUUCAAACUACAAAAAGACACUGCUGCUUGCCCUGAAUCCAGUCUGCUCCGAUAAACCCACUGUAGCAUUCUGCACCGUCCAGAAACCGAACGUGAUAGCAUACAGCACUAGCAUGGCCAAAUGUAUCUCGGCAAGUGGGUGCCAAAGUGGUCAGGGCCAGAACCCCGCAAACUGCGGCUGCGCCUAUUCGUACAAUGGCAAGAUGGUCUUCAGAGCGCCGUCCUUCAAGGAUGUGUCGGACACCGUUAGGUUUCAGCAACUGGAGGAAACCCUCUGGAGGCUACUGGGUCUGCGUGAAGGUGCGGUUCUCCUGAACCGUAUCCACUUCAACGAGGACAACUACCUCCAAGUUCAAGUGAGUCUGUUCCCGUCGACGGGGACGCUCUUCAACGUGUCUGAAGUGAGCCGCAUUGGGUUUCUUCUCAGCAACCAGACCUACAAGCCGCCGCCAAUAUUCGGGCCUUACUUCUUCAUUGCAGAUCCAUAUGUCCCCUUCUUAGUUGCUGGUGGCAAGAAAUCGAAGUUCAGUACAGCUGCUGUUGCUGGAAUCGCAGUGGCCGGUGGGGUUCUUGUGAUUGCCCUCAUUUUGGUGGGACUGUUCGCUUUGCGACAGAAGAGAAGGAACAAGGAACUAAAAGAACGAAGCACCGACCCUUUUGCUUCGUGGGGCGCGGCGCAGAAAGACAGCGGAGGAGCUCCACAGCUGAAAGGAGCGAGGUUCUUCUCCUUCGAGGAGCUGAAAAGCUGCACGGACAACUUUGCAGAUAGCCAUGAGAUAGGCGCAGGAGGCUAUGGAAAGGUGUACAAGGGAACACUUGUGGACGGAAUACGGGUGGCGAUAAAGCGGGCGCAGUCUGGGUCGAUGCAGGGCGCGCCGGAGUUCAAGAACGAGAUCGAGCUGCUGUCCCGGGUUCACCACAGGAACCUGGUGAGCCUGAUCGGCUUCUGCUUCCAGCAAGGGGAGCAGAUGCUGGUUUACGAGUUCGUCGCCGGUGGGACACUGAGGGAGAACCUUGUUGUUAGAGGGACGUACUUGGGCUGGAAGAAGAGGCUGAGGAUCGCGCUCGGGUCGGCGAGGGGGCUGGCGUACCUUCACGAGCUCGCCGACCCGCCGAUCAUCCACCGCGACAUCAAGUCCACCAACAUCCUCCUCGACGAGAACCUCAAGGCCAAGGUCGCCGACUUCGGGCUCUCCAAGCUCGUCGCCGACACCGAGAAGGGCCACGUCUCCACCCAAGUCAAAGGAACACUGGGAUAUUUGGACCCGGAGUACUACAUGACGCAGCAGCUGUCGGAGAAGAGCGACGUGUACAGCUUCGGGGUGGUGAUGCUGGAGCUGGUGAGCGGGAGGCAGCCGAUCGAGAAGGGGAAGUACGUUGUGCGGGAGGUGAGGCAGGCCAUCGACCCGGCCGACCGCGACUACUACGGCCUGCGCGCCAUCGUCGACCCGGCGAUCCGGGACGCCGCGCGGACGCCCGGGUUCCGGCGGUUCGUGCAGCUGGCGAUGCAGUGCGUGGACGAGUCCGCGGCGGCGCGGCCCACCAUGGGCACCGUCGUCAAGGAGGUGGAGGCCAUGCUGCUCAACGAGCCCGACGGGGAGGGGUCCAACUCGGCCGGGUCGUCGGCCACCGAGUUCGACGGCGCCGGCAGGGGCGCGCCCUCGCACCCGUACAGCGACGUGGAGAUCACCCGGUCGUCCUACGGCGGCGCCGGGGAGGCGUCCGAUUACAUGCCCUACUUCGAGGUCAAGCCAAAAUAA